rnacentral:rRNA from 1 species
UACGGGGGGGGCAAGCGUUGUUCGGAAUUACUGGGCGUAAAGGGCUCGUAGGCGGCCAACUAAGUCAUACGUGAAAUCCCUCAGCUUAACUGGGGAACUGCGUGUGAUACUGGAUGGCUUGGAUUUGGGAGAGGGAUGCGGAAUUCCAGGUGUAGCGGUGAAAUGCGUAGAUAUCAAGAGGAACACCUGAGGUGAAGACGGGUUGCUGGGCUGACACUGACGCUGAGGCGCGAAAGCGUGGGGAGCAAACAGG